GACGAACGCUGGCGGCGUGCCUAAUACAUGCAAGUCGAGCGGACGAAUCGAAAGCUUGCUUUUGAUUCGUUAGCGGCGGACGGGUGAGUAACACGUGGGCAACCUGCCCUGUAGACGGGGAUAACACCGAGAAAUCGGUGCUAAUACCGGAUAACACGAAAUGUCGCAUGACGUUUCGUUGAAAGACGGCGCAAGCUGUCGCUACAGGAUGGGCCCGCGGCGCAUUAGCUAGUUGGUGAGGUAACGGCUCACCAAGGCGACGAUGCGUAGCCGACCUGAGAGGGUGAUCGGCCACACUGGGACUGAGACACGGCCCAGACUCCUACGGGAGGCAGCAGUAAGGAAUCUUCCGCAAUGGACGAAAGUCUGACGGAGCAACGCCGCGUGAGCGAAGAAGGCCUUCGGGUCGUAAAGCCCUGUUGUUAGGGAAGAACAAGUAACGCAGUAACUGGCGUUACCGUGACGGUACCUAACGAGAAAGCCACGGCUAACUACGUG
rnacentral:rRNA from 1 species